UAUAAAUAACGGCAAAAUCAUUGAAAGGUGAUGACGUAAAACUACAAGGUCCUCUGUCUUACGCAAAGCCAGCCAGCUACCAUC
rnacentral:ncRNA from 1 species